CAGCUGAGCUCCAGCUCCUUCCUUACCCUUGCUCAGCAUUCUGGGGGCUCCCUGGUGUCUGGACGCUUCCAGAAGAGAGAACCGAGGGCUGGACCUGGAAGCUGGGAGGGUCCAGGGCCCUGCCCCUCUGGAGCGGCUGGGGGGCUGCAGGGACACCUGGAAGGGACCCCUGGAAGGGCCCAGGAAACCGGCCUGGGAAGGAAGAGGUGAACAACCACGGGCACAGUCUCAUUCGCCCCAUGGCGGGGACAGGAAAGUGGCUCCGGACCCACUUGGCCAUCCUCCUGUCUCCAGCCAGGCCUGCGGCUCUCCCA